rnacentral:rRNA from 4 species
UUUAAUAUGAUUUGAUCCUGGCUCAGGACGAACGCUGGCGGCGUGCCUAAUACAUGCAAGUUGAGCGCUGAAGGUUGGUACUUGUACCAACUGGAUGAGCAGCGAACGGGUGAGUAACGCGUGGGGAAUCUGCCUUUGAGCGGGGGACAACAUUUGGAAACGAAUGCUAAUACCGCAUAAAAACUUUAAACACAAGUUUUAAGUUUGAAAGAUGCAAUUGCAUCACUCAAAGAUGAUCCCGCGUUGUAUUAGCUAGUUGGUGAGGUAAAGGCUCACCAAGGCGAUGAUACAU